rnacentral:rRNA from 1 species
UGACGGUACCCUACUAGAAAGGAGCCGCUAACUUCGUGCCAGAAGCGUCGGUAAUACGGGGGCUCCAAGCGUUAUCCGGUGUUAUUGGGCGUAAAGAGUCGUGUAGGUGGUUGGGUAAGUUAUCUUUCAAAUAUCUUUGCUUAACAAAGAGGAGGGGGAUAAUACUGCUCGACUAGAAUCUUCUCAAGGGAGAUCGGAACUGAGGGAGGAGUAGUGAAAUGCGUUGAUACCCUCGGGAACACCAGUGGCGUAGGCGGAUCUCUGGGAGAAGAUUGACACUGAGACACGAAAGCUAGGGGAGCGAAGCAGAUUAGAGACCUGCGUAGUCCUAGCCGUAAACGCAUGCUUGCCAGCUGCAUGAAUCUACCUUCGGGUGGUAUCGUGUGGCGAAGGUAACCCGUUAAGCAAGCCGCCUGGAAAGUACGGCCGCAAGGCUGAAAUUCAAAGGAAUUGGCGGGGAGGCACACAACCAGUGGAACAUGUGGUUUAAUUCGAGACUAACCGAAGAACCUCACCAGGGUUUGACAUGUAGCUGCACGUCUUAAGAAAUUAAGACUCUCUUGAAGGUGCUACACAGGUGCUGCAUGGCUGUCGUCAGCUCGUUCCGUGAGGAGUGCCCUUAAGUGGGACAACGAGCGCAACCCCUAUUACAUGUUAGAAAUGUCAUGCAAGACUGCCUUGCCAUUUGGCGGGGAGGAAGGAGGGGCAGACGUCAAGUCCGCAUGGUCCUUAUGCCCUGGGCUACACACAUGUUACAAUGAGUACGGCAAUGAGUCUGUCGCGAGCACGUAAGUGUAAGCUAAUCUCUUAAAUGUACUCUCAGUGGGGAUUGAGGUCUGCAACUCGACCUCAUGAACACGGAAUUGGUAGUAAUCGCGGGUCAGCUAUACCGCGGUGAUACGUUCUUGCCUCUUGCACACACCGCCCGUCAAACCAGCAAAGUCGAUUGUAUCCGAACCU